UACGUAGGGUGCAAGCGUUGUCCGGAAUUAUUGGGCGUAAAGAGCUCGUAGGCGGUUUGUCGCGUCUGCUGUGAAAACUCGGGGCUUAACCCCGGGCCUGCAGUGGGUACGGGCAGACUAGAGUGCGGUAGGGGAGACUGGAAUUCCUGGUGUAGCGGUGAAAUGCGCAGAUAUCAGGAGGAACACCGGUGGCGAAGGCGGUUAGCUGGGCAGUUGCUGACACUGAGGCGCGACAGCGUGGGGAGCAAACAGG
rnacentral:rRNA from 1 species